CGCGGUGCCAUGGCUGCACUCUCCGUUCAAGCGUCGUGGCCUUUCCCUCGGGAGUGCCACCACAAGGAACAUGCAGUGUUGUUGCUGCCAUCGCUUGGAUUGAUCUGUUGUAUCAGUGAUAUGUGCGUCUGUGGUACAGUCCUAUAGAUGAACUAUGCCGCCUUUUCUUCUAAAGAAAGUGGUCACGGGCAACAAAGCUUGGAGAUGGAAAAAUGGGACGUUCAGGACAAUUCUGUUAAUAACAAUUAAUCGGUGAGAAUUCAUC